UACGGGGGGGGCAAGCGUUGUUCGGAAUUACUGGGCGUAAAGGGCUCGUAGGUGGCCAACUAAGUCAGACGUGAAAUCCCUCGGCUUAACCGGGGAACUGCGUCUGAUACUGGAUGGCUUGAGAUUGGGAGAGGGAUGCGGAAUUCCAGGUGUAGCGGUGAGAUGCGUAGAUAUCUGGAGGAACACCGGUGGCGAAGGCGGCAUCCUGGACCAACACUGACACUGAGGAGCGAAAGCCAGGGGAGCAAACGGG
rnacentral:rRNA from 1 species